rnacentral:lncRNA from 1 species
GGGAUUCAAAUUUUUCUAACUUUAAAAUUAAUGAUAAAUAAAGAAGAUAAAUAAUUAAAAGCAGAUAAAGAGACAGGGAGAGAGAUUUGGGUCCAAAUCCGGGUUCUGUACGCCUUGACCGAUUUUUGGACCCGUCUGUCUUGGGUUUUUGACCCAUUUUCUUUGCAACUGUCCUAGACUAAACAUACAAUAAUGAUAAAUAAUAAUACAUAACAGAAAAACAACAAGGGCUUAGGCCCAAAACAACAAAAUACAACAUAAAAAUAAAAGGCUUCUUGGUCCAAGAUCUUCAACUAUGGCCUGAUUCGAAUUCCUCGGCUUUGAGAACCUGUACGCUGAAAAAAUGGAUGGUUGACUCGAUGAAAAUAAAGGCCCUCUCAAAAUGCACGAGGGAAAAUAGGAACUCGUGACGAGUCCGUACGAAUUUCACUUGUGAAGCAAAGUAAUUAGUGGACCAUAUUUUAAUAUUAGAAAAAGGUCAAAUGAAUUAACUCAUAAAUCACCGCACUUUAGUUUAAAAUGCAACAGCAAAAAGAAAAUGACAACUUGAAUCAAUCCCAAAAUAUUCUUUUGACUCUAGUCCACUAAUGCAGCAAUCAAGAUCAGGUAGAUUUGGACUCCAACGAAUCAUGAACCAAAGCAACCUAUUGGAAUUCUUCAAACUACAGUGACUAGAUAAUUGUUUGUCAAUUAUAAAGAGCCGGCAAAAUAAAAAUAUUCUAAGAAGUUGGGCCACAUUGAAGUGGACGAACCCAAAGAACAUUAUCACAGCAUAAAUUGACAUAUGAGCAAAACAAUCAGUAUUCAAAUAAAGUUGGUAAGAACCUGCCAAAAUAAAAUAGUACACUAGCACAAGAUUAUGAUUUAAUUAGCCUACUUCUUUAUUUGAUUAUUUAAAUACAAGAGACGGUGAGUAAACGAAACUAAAAUAAAUUAAGACCACUUAAUGUUUUGACCUUAUGAGAAAACCGACCAAAACCACAUAAAUUAAUGGCCCACUAUCAGCAAAGUUGGCAGAAUAGGCAAGUGAAGAAUAAAAUAAUCACAAACUUGGAGCUUUGAACCAAGACAAAGAAAGUGAUAACAUAUUAUCAAAUAAUAAAGAAACAUCUUGCCUUGCAUGAUUUAUUUGACGACCAAACUAAACGAUAGCAAUAUAAGAGGUUUUUUAUGAGUUCAACGAGCCGACAGAUAUCAUACCUAAUUUUAAAAAAGAGAGAGCUCCCUCGGAGCAGGUCAAGCUAAGUUAAAUCAAACACAAGCAAAGAAACAAACACGCGAAACUGGCAUACUUCGGCACAUUAAAAUAAAUCCGACUGAACGGCUUGAAUAUCAACACUUAGGAGAGUGGAUUAACAAAACAAACUUAUCAUAUUCAAGACUACUAAAAACUAUAAGAAGGUAAUUAGUACAAACUGUGAAACUCACUUUUGUCUUCAGAACUCAAGACAAUAUCAGAAGACACAUUUUGACAAAUAUGGAAUGAAUAACAUCAAAAAUUAGCAAAAUUAAUUGAAGGAUCGAAAUAAGCAAUAUCCUACCAAGAAAACUCGAGAAGAAACAUAAACAGACACAGAGAGGAGACCAAAAUAGGACAGAAUCGAAUCUUCGAAAAUGAAGUACAUAUAAGCUUCAGAAAGACUAUGACGAUCGAAAACCUAAGAUUAUAACAAAACAACGCACAACAAACGCAUAACCCGAUAACAUAUAUACACAAUUUAAUCACUCAUUGUGAGACAACAAGGGAAAGAGAAGUCAAACUACAAAACAGGGAAGACGAGAGUUGUUUACCUCUUUUUGAGCAACGAACAGAGAACAAACGAGCUGAACGAGAAUGAUCUUUCGCCACCAAGACGUGACCUCCUAGAAUUCAUCUAAGAAGAUGGGUGAGCUGAGAAUAAAGGCUGAACCAAAAUUGUGCUUUCUAGUAACUAUCCUAAAAUAUUUUUAUCAUAGUAUGGCUGGAAAUCUAGAAUGUAUCUUGUAUUCUAGAGGAAUAGCUGACUCCAAUAUUUCUUGUUAUUUUUUCACCACUCUCCACUAAACCUUAUUUUUCUUAACACAAAAUAAAGGGAUUAUUUAUACCAAGGGUUUAGGGUUCGGAUUAUGGGGGGGAGAAAAAAAAGGUUGAAAUUCGAAUUUCCCCUUCCAGAUAAGGCUGCACCUGGAAUCGUACUAAUCCUAAUGGAAUGAGGAGGAGAACCGUCUGAUUCAGGAGCAAGGACGGAUGAAGCACAAGAUAGAGACACUUAGAUUAUUCACAUACGGCGAAGAUGAGGGAGAGGGAAGGACGACGUAUCACGCGCGGUUGAUUUCUUUGAUUGUUAUCCACUCAUGCGUGAAUAAGAAGGAGAAACAGUUAUGGGCUCCUGAUGCUAUAGUUAGUGGAUUAUCUUUGUGAUUGUAAUUGAAUGUUGCAUUGCAUUUGGUGGGAUGAUUUUUUUGUGGGAAUGGGCCUGGGUCAAAUUGAGGGGCAAAAGGGAAGUAUCGAGUCAGAUUCUGAGAAGGGGCUAGACUGACUGGAAAGUUGUUAAGAGAUACAUGCCCAAAGCUGCUAUGAAAUUUUAGCUCAUCAGAAUGUCAAGCAGGCCUAGUCGAGUCUCUUAAAAAAAUAAGAUGAAUUAGUAUAAUAAAUUUAAGAGCUUAUUAAUCCUAACAAUAUAAAAUGAUUAGUUUGAUUCGGAGAUAGUGAUCCAAAAAUAUAACUUAGUUUAACUAAUACUAAUUUAACAAAGUUUACUAUAACUUAAAUCUUUUGAAAUCAUUUUUGAAAUGCUAUGGCAUACGAGCAUAUUGCUCCAAAAAAAAUAAGACAGAACUUAUUUUGCAUAGUUUGCAAAUAUUACAUUUUCUAACAUUUCAUCAAACUAAUUAUUUAGAUCUUUUGAAAUUGAAGAAGCUCGAAAAUUGAUUGUUAUGGGGAAGGUCAAAAUUGGGUGUCAACAGACUCCAACAAACAUUAGGAGUUUUUUUGGAUUAGCGGGCUACUAUCGAAGGUUCGUGAAGGGUUUUACAUCCAUUGAAUCUCCUUUGAAUACUUUGACCCAAAAGUGUAGGAAAUUUGAGUGGUCGGAGGCAUGUGAAAGAAGCUUCCAAAUAUUGAAAGAUAAGCUUACUUCCACUCCAGUGUUGACUUAACCGGAGGGUACAAAGGGGUUUGUUGGGUAUUGUGAUGCAUCCCAUGUUGGUUUUGGGUGUGUGCUUAUGCAACAUGGAAAGGUGAUAGCCUAUGCUUCUAGACAACUUAAAGUGCAUGAGAGAAACUAUCCAACUCAUGACCUUGAGCUAGCGGUCGGGGUGUUUGCCUUGAAAAUAUGGAGGAAUUACUUGUAUAGUGUUCAUAUUGAUGUCUUUACCGACCAUAAGAGUCUCCAAUAUGUGUUUACCCAAAAGGAGUUGAAUGUCCAACAAAAAAGGUGGUUAGGAUUGUUUAUAGAUUAUGAUAUGAGUGUCUUCUAUCACCCCGGCAAGGCCAAUGUGGUUGUAGAUGCGCUAAGUCAUAUGCCUAUGGUUAGUCUGUCACACAUAGAUGAAGCCAAGAAAGACCUAGUGAAAGAUAUUCAUAGGUUGGCUAGGUUGGGUGUGAGGUUGGAAGAUUAUCUGAAUGGUGGGUUCAUGCUCUAUCAUAACUUCGAGUCAUCUUUAGUGGUCGAGGUUUAGUCCAAAAAACACCUUGAUCAACCAUUGAUGGAGUUGAAAGAACCGAUUCUCGUUAAGUCAAACGAGUCAUUCUCCUUAGGGAAGAUGGUCUGUUGAGGUACCAAGGGAGAUUGUGUGUUCCCAAUAUAGAUGGGUUGAGAGACCAGAUCGUUGAAAAAGCCCAUGGGUCCCGCUACUCCAUUCAUCCGGGUUCGACAAAAAUCUACCAUGACCUUAGGGAAAUAUUUUGGGGGGAAGGUAUGAAGAAAGACAAAGCGGAGUUUGAUGCUAAGUGUCCAAAUUGCCAACAAGUAAAAUUCGAACAUCAAAAGUCGGGUAGCUUACUACAAGAAAUCCAACCUACUUGGAAGUGGGAAGACAUCAAUAUGGAUUUUUGUAGUAGGUUUACCUCGAACUCAAAAACAAUAUGACUCUAUAUGGGUGGUUGUGGAUAGGUUGACUGAAUUCGCUCAUUUUAUUCCCGUCAAGUCUACUUAUUAGGAGAAAUAUUAUGUUGAGUUCUUCAUAGAUGAGGUUGUGUGUCGCCAUGGUAUUCCUUUAUCCAUCAUAUCGGAUCAGGGUGCACAAUUCACAUCUAGUAUUUGGAGGUCAUUCCAAGAAGGUUUGGUACUAGGAUGAAGUUGAGUACUGCUUUCCAUCCCCAAACGGAUGGUCAAGCGGAACGUACUAUUCAAACUCUUGAGAAUAUGUUUCGGGCUUGUAUUAUUGAUUUCAAGGGAAAUUGGAAUAAGCAUUUGCCUUUGGUGGAGUUUGCUUAUAAUAAUAGAUUUCAUUAAUCCAUCUCAAUGGCUCCUUAUGAAGCCUUGUAUGGUAGGAGGUGUAGGUCUCCUAUAGGAUUGUUUGAAGUGGGUGAGCCUUUGCUUCUCACUCCCGAUUUGAUUUAUAAGACUUUGGAGAAAUUUUAUAUCAUAAGUAACCGGUUGCAAACGAACUAUAGUCGGCAAAAUUCUUAUGCCGAUCAUAGGAGAAGAGAUUUGGAGUUUGAAGAAGGUGAUAAGGUGUAUUUGAAACUUUCACCUAUGAAGGGGGUGGUUAGAUUUGGAAAGAAAGGGAAGUUGAGUCCUCGUUAUGUGGGUUCCUAUGAAAAUUUGCAAAGGUUUGGUAAGGUUGCCUAUGAAUUUAAACUCCCUAGUGAAUUGGCUUCGGUUCAUCCAGUUUUCCAUGUUUCUAUGUUGAAGAAGUGUAUCGGUGAUUCCGGGUAUAUUCUUCCUAUUGAGGGUCUUGGUGUCAGGGAUAACCUCUCCUAUGAGGAGGUCCCGGUUCAAAUCCUUGAUAGACAAGUAAAGAGGUUGAGGAACUAGAGGUGGUUUUCGGUAGAAGUGUUAUGGAAAAACCACCUAGUAGAGGGUGCAACAUGGGAGGCCGAGGCCGACAUGAAGUCCCGUUACCCUCAUCUUUUUGAUAAUUAAGGUUAUUCACUCUUCUUAAUAAUAUAAAUAUGACUAGAAAUUGACUCUUGAUUUUUGGUGAAGUCUUGCAAAAUGUGCAUUUUCGAAUUGCAUUACAGUGAGUUUACAGUGAAUUGGUGCAUCAAACUUGAAAUGUUUCCAUUUUGGUUUUGUUUGAGUUAUGUUAUGCAUUUUGACGUGAUGAGUCCUUAUGAGAAGUUGUGUAGCAAGUUGAUAAGUUGAAUUUUGUUAAAUUGACUCAUGUAAAGUAUGUUGAUGCUCAUGUGUGUUGUGAGGAGGAAAUGCCUCAUGAUGAAAUGUUUGAGCCUUAUGUGUGGUAAUUGAUGUUUUGAAAUUCGCAUUGUUGAAAUGAUAUGAUUUAUGUUGUUUUGAUAUUGUUGAUUGGUUGGACUGCUAGUCUAGAGUCUAUUCCUUCCUUUAAAAGAUUUUUAGUGUAAUUUGGGGACGAAUGUUCCUAAGGGGGGAUAAUAUAAUAUUUGAAAAUUCAAGACGUGUCUUAAAGCCUAACAUAGGUGUAUUGAGGUCUAGACACUGUUUGAAGGACUAUUAUAAUGAAUAUAUGUCAUUUAGAAAGCUUAGAAACCAAAACGUCUAAGAACGUCCAUGACGUUUGGAAAUUUAGUUCAAGGACGCACUAGCGUGCUUAGCCUAUUUGACUUAGGAGUCGGAAAUGCAUGAAAGUUGAUGGAAGGGUGUCUAACAUGUGUUUAAUAUGAUUCGUGGUAGAAACUUUCGGGUACUACUCCCCAAGGACCAACUAAGGGCCCUUAAGGAGGACCCUAGCACAUAGGAGGCAACACUGUCCGAGCAGUGUGCACCGACAAAACAUAAACGACGGGGCGUGUGUUGAUCGAUGGGGCAUCGAUGCAAACUGUCUACAAAAACAUAGACAAUUCAUGGAAGAUACUUACCUACAUAGUCUCUUACCAAAACGAUGGAUGUGCAGCACGGAAGGGUAUAAUGACCGUCGACUCACAGAUGGACCGUCGAUCGGGGUCUCGUCUGUGAGGGUCUAAUUUUCCUGCACAUUUUAACUGAGUCUCGUUUAAAUAAUUAAGGGGUUAGGUGGUUAGUUAAGGGUUUAAGGGAGUCUAAUUAAGUUAAUUAACCUCCCAUAUAAAAACCCCAACCCCAUUAGAUUAAUUACAACUCACAAAAUAAUCUCUCUUCCUUCUCUCUUCUUUCUCUAUCUAUUGGAAGACACCAUUGAAGAAAAUCUAGGGGGGGGGGUUUGGGGGCUUUUAAAUGUAUGAUUUCACCAUAAAUUCUUCAUCAAACGUUAAGGUAUGAGAUCUAAUUCAUCUUUGAGACUUCUUUCCUCAAAGGGCUCCUUCAAAGUAUUUUCAAAAGUUGAGUUUUCAUGUGGGUUCUUCUCAAUCUCGAAAAUCAUGUCAUGAAUUGAUUUGUUUAUGUUUUCUUUAGGAUAAUAUGAAUAAAUUAACAUGGAUAUAAAUUAAUUAUGAUAAUUCUUAAAGGUUUGGUCUAAAUUGUAGAAUAUGACCCUCUACCUUUAACCCUAGGUUGUGAUCUUGAUAUGAAUUGUAUAAUGUUCAUUGAAUUGUCUUGGUUAUUUAUUGAAUUACUACCACAUGAUGUUAUUGUAUUGAUUAGGAAUAUAUUGAGAUGAAUCACAUGCCUAAUAUGCUAGUUCUUGAGAUGUUGAUUUAGGUUAUGAAGUAUAUUGUGAGUUUGACCAAAGUAUCUUGUCUUAAGCUAUGAUCUAGCGUUGAAUUGUGUUAUAGUGAUGUAAUUGGCCUUUUUAUUCUAUUUUAUAUCAUUAUGUGAUUAUGUUAAUCCCCUAAUUAGGUUGAUUUAUGGGUUGAUGGUAAGACCUUUAUGAUGAACUAUGAAGGAGAAUUGGUAAGUCUUGUAACCCCUAUUCUUUACUUCAACUUGUGGUUAAUUGUGAUUAUGUCAUGAUGUUGUGUGGGUGUAUGCCUUAUUUAGAAUUGAUAGGGUGGUAUAAUGUUGAAUUUAAAUGUCUUGACUAUGGUUGUGAGGUUGAUUAAGAUGUAAAUGUUAUAAGGAUGGUGAUGCUUACUAAUGUGCUUUAUUAUGAAACUGAUAUGAAAUGUGUUAACCUCACUUGUAUGAACUAUAAUGAAAGGAUUGUACUCACAUAAUUCUUAUUGAUCUAUGAUGAUGAUGAUUAUACAAGGGCUAGACCCUAUGACCUAAACUAAGUUAUGAUUGUUAAUAAAGACUUAAAGACAAUUCAAAAAGGGACCUUAGCUUAGCACUGAGUGAUCUUGUAUGUGAGGGGGUGACACUUUCCAAAAUAGGGAAGGUAGGGCUCACUACGGUCCUCACGGGGUGGAUAGCCUCAUGAACCAAUAGGGUGUAGAGUGACGUUUCCAAAACGACCCCAAGUUCAUUAAACUAUGUUGCCACCAUAGGAAUAAUAGCUAGUGGAUCCACCUAGAUGCUAUCUUUAUGUUAGGUUUUACCUUGGCCUGUAGACCACCUUCAAUCGUGUAAGGUUUUACAACAUCGGAUUUCACAGUUGGAUCUUGUGGUCUAUGUCGGUUAAGGCAAGUUUUCCCUAAACUAAAAUGAAUCAAUUGAGUAUAAACUAACUAGGGUGACUUGAGAGGUUUGACUUAGCUUAGGUUGAGGUAUGGGACUCUGUUUAUGCCUUACACUAGUUAGCCUUGAUGGAAGCUUUAGGAAGUCUGUAUUAUGUAUGUAUAUAAUAAUGAUGUAUAUGAUGAUAAUAUGUUGAUGAUACAACAUAAAUGGUAUUAUAUGAUGAUGAUUAUCCUUAUGAACAUGUAUUUGGAUUAUAUUAUUAGAGUAUGAUGUUAUGUAUCCUUAAAGAUUAUAUUAUGUGAUAUUGGACAUUGGUUAUGGUUUCUUGUUGGGGUUACUUGAUUGAGUAAGUCUAUUGGGCUUUGCUUGGUCAUUGCACUUGUUGACUUGGUGAGGAUUCAUGGGUACUUGUCUUGCUUUUUAUGAUAUGGUUAACUCUUGUUCAUGCUUGUGAUGUUAUUCCUUGAUAAUAGGGUUGUAGUAGAUUAUGUGUAAGCCUAUAUGUGGCUUCUUUACAUUGAUGUAGGGCUAUGCCCAAAUUGCUUUGAUCGUUUAGAUGAUACGAGAUGAGACAAUAUUUAAUGACUAUAUUCUAUCUUAUAUAUAUGUGUGUAAUAAAGUAGAAGGCUAUGUAACCUUCCUAUACGAAAGGUCUAUGUGUACUCGUUAUGAAUAUAUUAUGUGUAUGUAGAGGUCUUGUAAACCUCCAAGUAGAUGUAAUUAAAAGUUUUAAUUUUUCCGUAUUUUUGACCUAUGAAUGUAAUGAUGUAAGAAUAAGAUGCUAGUCUUAGUCCUCAAAGAGGACAACGACGCCGGUAACGUCUAGGGGGUAAACUCGGAUGUGACAUCUAUACCAAAUAAGUCAAGGUUGAAAGAGACCCACAAAAUUGAGAGAAAUAUAGAAAUUUGGGAACAUUGAAAUCAAUUUUGAAGGAACCUUUUGGUGAUAGGUAUCCUAAGAGUGAAGAGUUCCCAUACCUUGACAAUCCUUAAUGAUUAAUGGAGGAAAGUCUUGUUCUUGAAGCCCUAGAGAAAGCUUGCCUUCUUUUUCAAUGAAGUCUUGAGUUAAGAGAGUUUGACUGAGUUUUGUUAGUUUACUUAGAAUGACUUGGGUAUUGGAGUCGGGGUCUUAUAAUUAGGUUUAUUUAGGUAAUAACUCACUAGCCACCCAUAAUAACCCCUAGUUAAUUAACUAACUCGUAAUAAGAUUCUCGACUUAAAAAUAAAACUCGAAUUUCCGUAAGGACCUAUGGCCACCACCUAUGGACUGUAUAUGGUGUGAAGCCCUGGUCGUAUGCCCUUUUGUUCCUAUCAGAGAUAGGAAAUGGGGGAGAUUUUGUGGCGAGACUAAGUCUCCACCCAAGAUCCUGACUUACGCCCCCUCAUUCCCUUGACGGUCCGUCAAAGGGCCUCGUAGGAAGCUGCUUCAAUUUGGCAUCUUUUGGGUUCUCCUCAAGGACCUUUAUGGUGGUCCUUGGGGGGCCAUACCCGUACAUUUGGACACUAAACACAUUAUUUUACUUACUUAUAACAUUUUUAUAUGAUUUAAUAACCGUACGACACUUUCAAACCUUCUCAAGACCUAAGAAUACCUACUAUUAAUUUUACAAAUCUUUCGGACGUCAUGGUCGUUUCUUGACGUUUAGGUACUAACACUUCCUAAACAAGUUAAUUACAUUAGGUUAGGUCUAUAAAUAUCAUCUUAACAAUUUUUAAGUCAUUAUUCAUAAUUCAAGGCUCUAGCUUAGGUCAUUGAUUUUCCAGGGUGUUUCAAUUUUGUAUAAUAAACUAAGCAUGUGACCUAGUAGGUUCUAAAGGGGUGAAAAUUCAUGAUUCUACUAGCAUUGUGGAGGAAGCUAAUGUUGUGAGGGAAGGUCUACAAUAUUGUUGGGAACAUAGUUUGGUGCAAGUUCUAUUUGAAUUUGAUUCGUAUGUUUUGGUGAAAAUACUUAAUGGAGAAUGGGAUGUUCCAUAAAGUGUGACUUUCGAAGUCAACUCCAUUAAUAAACUGGUGGAAUUGAUGACGGUAAAAGUACAACACUCAUUAAGGGAGGAGGAAUACUCUUGCUGAUUUUUUUGCUAACUUAGUUUUUCAUUUAGCAUGUACAUUUUAAUUAGUUUCAGGAAGUUCCUAGAGUAGGGAAAGUUAUAAUAAAUGCAGAAAAAUAUGGUUUUCCUCAUCUGAAAACAAGACAGACUAUUUAUCCUAUGUCCAACAAUACAUAGAUUUACGAAAUAACUGAUAAAAUAUUCCUAAUUUAAGCAGGGCUAUAGACAACUUCAGUCUCAAUUAGAUUCGUUUUGUUACAUAUCAUGCGUCUGUUGAGAGUUUAAGGUGUCACAGGUGAUAUAAAACCAGGACAAGUGGUAUUAGGCUUGUAUAUGUGUGGGAUGUAUUUUGUUCUGUUAUUGCUUCAACAAUCUAAGAUAACAUAUUGAGUUGUGUACCUAAGCUUUUCAAAUGUUCUACUCGUCAAGUCAGCCUCAAGAAUUUCCUAUACGAUUUAAUAAGUCAAUACCUCUCUUUAAGGUCUAAGCCCAGAUGAUGGGAUUAAUCACAUUGUGGGAUUCAACCCACUGAGAGUAGACAUGAGAGAUGAGGCAUAAACUUACCGUUGUUGAUAUUGAGGAAGUAGUCAAUUGAGUUUGAAUUUGAAUCCUACAAUGGAAGAAAGAUAAACAUUCAAAAGAGAUAAAGAUCGAGUUAGUGGGUACCUUUUUCUCACUGGCAAUCAACGUUUCGAUCUUCCAGAGAUCCCUUCACCCGCCUCAGUUGUUGGUACACGAUCGACAGGUCCCAUCUGGGAGCUCAAUUUGUGGAGCUCCAUUGCUAAUUGAUGAAGAGGUCGUGGUGGAGAUGCUAUUCUAGAGGACUGACUAUUCCACUUUCUUUUUCAGAUAUUUUUGUUCUAUUUAAUUUAUGGAUUUAUUGCUGAUUUUAUGGACUUAGCACUUAAAUUUUUAUCAUUUUAAUAAAAC